rnacentral:tRNA from 2 species
GCUUCAGUAGCUCAGCGGUAGAGCGCGUGCCUUGUAAGCACGAGGUCGGGAGUUCAAUUCUCCCCUGAAGCU